GACGAACACUGGCGGCGUGCCUAAUACAUGCAAGUUGAGCGCUGAAGGUUGGUACUUGUACCAACUGGAUGAGCAGCGAACGGGUGAGUAACGCGUGGGGAAUCUGCCUUUGAGCGGGGGACAACAUUUGGAAACGAAUGCUAAUACCGCAUAAAAACUUUAAACACAAGUUUUAAGUUUGAAAGAUGCAAUUGCAUCACUCAAAGAUGAUCCCGCGUUGUAUUAGCUAGUUGGUGAGGUAAAGGCUCACCAAGGCGAUGAUACAUAGCCGACCUGAGAGGGUGGUCGGCCACAUUGGGACUGAGACACGGCCCAAACUCCUACGGGAGGCAGCAGUAGGGAAUCUUCGGCAAUGGACGAAAGUCUGACCGAGCAACGCCGCGUGAGUGAAGAAGGUUUUCGGAUCGUAAAACUCUGUUGGUAGAGAAGAACGUUGGUGAGAGUGGAAAGCUCAUCAAGUGACGGUAACUACCCAGAAAGGGACGGCUAACUACGUG
rnacentral:rRNA from 1 species